rnacentral:rRNA from 1 species
AGCGAACGCUGGCGGCAGGCCUAACACAUGCAAGUCGAACGGAUCCUUCGGGAUUAGUGGCGGACGGGUGAGUAACACGUGGGAACGUGCCCUUUGGUUCGGAACAACUCAGGGAAACUUGAGCUAAUACCGGAUGUGCCCUUCGGGGGAAAGAUUUAUCGCCAUUGGAGCGGCCCGCGUCUGAUUAGCUAGUUGGUGAGGUAAAGGCUCACCAAGGCGACGAUCAGUAGCUGGUCUGAGAGGAUGAUCAGCCACAUUGGGACUGAGACACGGACCAAACGCCUACGGGAGGCAGCAGUGGGGAAUCUUGCGCAAUGGGCGAAAGCCUGACGCAGCCAUGCCGCGUGAAUGAUGAAGGUCUUAGGAUUGUAAAAUUCUUUCACCGGGAACGAUAAUGACGGUACCCGGAGAAGAAGCCCCGGCUAACUUCGUGCCAGCCGCCGCCGUAACAC